AAGUAAUAAUAAACAUUCACAUAUUUAACAAACAAAAUAUUUAUUAGUGAGAUAUUUUAAAAUAUUAUAAUUGUUAAAAAAUAGUAUAAAAAAAGGAAAUAUUCUCAUAUUAUAAACAAAAUGACACAAUGCAUCUACACUAAUUAUCAAAGAGAGCUUUACUUAACUUAACUGCCUUCACAUAAAAUAUAGUCCUAAAAAUCUAUAAACACAGAGAUGCUUACUACUGCAGAAGAUUUCUACAUACCAACACAGAGAAUAGGGUAAUACAUUUCCUUACCAAAUUCUAGUAGUUCACUCAAGUCCUAAAAGAUUGAAAGGCAAGAUUUAGAGUGCAAGUAAAUGUCAAUAAAUUUUAUGUAUUAUUUGUUAUGCUAUCUAACCAUGUGGCCCAUUAAGUGUUAGUACAAGUAUCAUGAAAAAACACAUAUAAUUAACAUUGCAAAUAAGUAAAAAGAAAAAAUUAAAUAAAUUCAUAUAAUAAAGAAGAAGAAUAAGAAGAGGAGAAACUGACCUAAUCUUUCUCUAGCAGUUUAAAGUGUAGUAGAGUUCUCAUUGAAACCUCACCAACUCUAAUUUAGCUAGUCCUUGCUUGUUGGAAAAGAUAAUCUCUAUCUAUUAUAGAAGGCACACAAAUCUAAAUACAUACACAAUUGCAUAAUUAUACAGUUUAGAAGAGAGAAAAUAAUAAUACAUAAUUUAUGUUGUUAGAUCAUAAGGUCUACGUCCACAAGCAAGAUGAGACAAAAAAUUUUAUGAUGAAAAAGAGCAAUAUACAAUCACUCAAAACUAUCAAACUCUAAUCCUAAUGUGUUUCACCAAUAUCUUACAAAUUUACUAUAAAUGAUAGAAUAUUAUAGUAUUUAUACUGGUCCAUACCUCACAGAUCUCACUUUUUAUUCUAAUUGGAUCACAGUGUGAAAUUUUUGUGUCGGGUCAUAGUUCGAGUCCAUAAAAGCAUAUCCAAAAUAUAAGCCAUAUAAAAAUAACAUUGUCAUGUCUUAUCUCUACCUCUCUACCCCAUUCUCUUCCUAUUUUUUCUUUUAUGUCGCUAGAUAACCAAAAUAAGAGAGGUGUAAUAAUAAAAAGAUGACAAUAAGGAGAGAAAGUAGAGAACAAAUGGAGGAAAACAUGAAAGAGGCAAAAGUGAGGAGUGAGAAUAAAAGAGAAAAUUUAGCGAUUUUAUUCUGCAAAUUUAAUUUCAAAAAAUAAUUUUUUUGAUUGCAUAAAAAAA
rnacentral:misc_RNA from 1 species